rnacentral:rRNA from 1 species
AAAGGAAUAGACGGGGACCCGCACAAGCGGUGGAACAUGUGGUUUAAUUCGAUGAUAAGCGAAGAACCUUACCAGGGCUUGACAUCUUGCGAAUCCUGAUGAAAGUUGGGAGUGCCGUAAGGAACGCAAUGACAGGUGUUGCACGGUCGCCGUCAGCUCGUGCUGUGAAGUGUCCCGUUAAGUCGGUAAACGAGCGCAACCCCUUUCGUAUGUUGUAUUUUUCAUGCGAUACUGCCGGCGUUAAGUCGGAGGAAGGUGGGGAUGACGUCAGAUCAGCGUGACUCUUACGCCCUGGGCUACACACGUGUUACAAUGGGUAGUAACAAUGGGUUGCCAAACCGAGAGGUGGAGCUAAUCCCAUCAAACCUACCCCCAGUUCGGAUUGAGGGCUGCAAUUCGCCCUCAUGAAGCCGGAAUCGCUAGUAAUCGUAGGUCAGCCACACUACGGUGAAUACGUUCUCGGGUCUUGUACACACCGCCCGU